AUGAGGCACAGAUGCUCCAAACAGACCAAAAACAAUUACGCAGCUGUAGAUUAAUAAAGCUAAUGUUAGAAACAAGCUGUAAUCAAUUUCACAGACACUCUCCUGAACCCUCGAAAUGUCUGACGUGCUGAAGGAAAACAAGCUUUGCUUUCCGAAUUGCAGCAUGCUCAAGGUCAAGCCUCGACCAUCUCAACUUGACCGGCCAGUGAGUGACCCUUAUGCUCUGCAGCUCUACCCUGCAACGACCUUCAUCUCCCCUGUCUGUGAUCAACACCAAAUACUGACAUAAUGAUGUUUUGUGUUCUGUAUUCAAUUUGUACAUUUGCUCUUGUAAUAUAGUAUACUAGCAAUGAUAAAAGUGAUUGCACUGGAGUCUAAGUUUUACCUGUCAUGUAAUUUUAUGGCUGACUUAACCCUGCACUGAUCAAUAUGGAGCGAUGGACUAUGUGUGCUAUGAAAGGGGUUGCUCAUAGAAACAAAGCCAUAGAGAAUUAACAUCUGACUCUUCAGCACAUUUCAGAAUGACACAGCCUUAAUUGUUUUGUUUUUCUGACCUCAAACUCCACUCUGAUCAGUCCCAUUAUUCAGCAGCUGCAGGAAACUCUUCUCAGUGAAAUAGCUGUCACAAACCCAUUAUAGGAUAGAGGCACAACACCAGA